rnacentral:rRNA from 1 species
GGCGGUUAGAUAAGUNUGAAGUUAAAGGCUGUGGCUUAACCAUAGCACGCUUUGGAAACUGUUUAACUUGAGUGCAGAAAGGGAGAGUGGAAUNCCAUGUGUAGCGGUGAAAUGCGUAGAUAUAUGGAGGAACACCGGUGGCGAAAGCGGCUCUCUGGUCUGUAACCGACGCUGAGGCUCGAAAGCGUGGGGAGCAAACAGGGUUAGAUACCCUGGUAGUNCACGCCGUAAACGAUGAGUGCUAGGUGUUGGGUCCUUUCCGGGACUCAGUGCCGCAGCUAACGCAUUAAGCACUCCGCCUGGGGAGUACGACCGCAAGGUUGAAACUCAAAGGAAUUGACGGGGGCCCGCACAAGCGGCGGAGCAUGUGGUUUAAUUCGAAGCAACGCGAAGAACCUUACCAGGUCUUGACAUCCCUCUGACCGCUCUAGAGAUAGAGUUUUCCUUCGGGACAGAGGUGACAGGUGGUGCAUGGUUGUCGUCAGCUCGUGUCGUGAGAUGUUGGGUUAAGUCCCGCAACGAGCGCAACCCCUAUUGUUAGUUGCCAUCAUUGAGUUGGGCACUCUAGCGAGACUGCCGGUAAUAAACCGGAGGAAGGUGGGGAUGACGUCAAAUCAUCAUGCCCCUUAUGACCUGGGCUACACACGUGCUACAAUGGCUGGUACAACGAGUCGCGAGUCGGUGACGGCAAGCUAAUCUCUUAAAGCCAGUCUCAGUUCGGAUUGUAGGCUGCAACUCGCCUACAUGAAGUCGGAAUCGCUAGUAAUCGCGGAUCAGCACGCCGCGGUGAAUACGUUCCCGGGCCUUGUACACACCGCCCGUCACACCACGAGAGUUUGUAACACCCGAAGUCGGUGAGGUAACCAUUNGGA